rnacentral:lncRNA from 1 species
UCUCCUCCACUCACAGCUGCUGAGUGUUUGCUCAUUGAGCCUGGCCCGAGGGGACUUUUCUGAGCUUCUGUUCAUUCCCUCCUGUCCAGUUCCCUCCCCUGGCCAGGCAUAAAUCAGGCCUGGCGACAGGAGCAGCAGCGAUUCCUGGCACCCCCAGCACCCUGGUUCACAAAACAAUACACAAUGGAUUAUUCAGAGCACACCCUGCGUCACACACCAGUAAUUAUAAACAUGAAAUCUAUCAAAUAAUGACAAUUAACAGCGGAUCUGACAGAGUAACACUCCAAAUAGCCUGGUGGUUGAUUACAUCUUAUUAAUGAAAUGCCAAAACAUUGAGGGCUCUUAGCAGGACAAUUAAUUGCUCCCAAUAAAUCUGACUUCUGCCAGACCUCGUCUUUAAAGGAGGUUUUGGGACAUCUGGUGAGAGUUAUUUUUUAAAGCAAUGGCUGAUGGUUCCUACAGAAAAUUCCCUGGGAGCUGGGAGAACUGGAGCCACCAACACACAGAAAUGAGGAGAAGGAAUUAGAGAUGAGGGCAACCCCAACACUGGAAUAAUUUUAUAUAAACUGGGGUGGGUUGUGGCGUAAGAUUCCAACCAAGAUCCGCUCCCAGCACUUCCCCUACAAACAUCCAGGGCCAGCAGCUUCCUUGGAAAGGUGUCCUCAGACACAAUGGCCCAGAUUCAAGGGGAUCCAAAGAGGAUGCCAGGCUGCUGGGAGAGGGUGAGCAGAGCCAAAGGAGACCUGUCCCAACCAGAGGUGUCCAGAGCCACCAGGCUGGCUGUCACUGACCCCGGGAUGGGCUGUGGUGACAAAAGGUGCAGGGACUGUUGUGCCACUCCUGCAGACACUGGCAAUGUCAGCUGCCCUGGACACACAGGACUUGCAGCACUGCUGCAAAGGUGGUCUGUGUCUGUCCAUCCAUCCAUCCAUCAUCCAUCCAUCAUCCAUCCAUCCAUCAUCCAUCCAUCAUCCAUCAUCCAUCCAUCCAUCAUCCAUCCAUCAUCCAUCCAUCAUCCAUCCAUCCAUCCAUCCAUCAUCCAUCCAUCAAUCCAUCAUCAAUCCAUCAUCCAU